rnacentral:rRNA from 1 species
UACGGAGGGAGCUAGCGUUGUUCGGAAAUACUGGGCGUAAAGCGCACGUAGGCGGCGCAGCAAGUCAGGGGUGAAAUCCCCGGGCUCAACCUGGGAACUGCAUCCGAAACUGCCUUGCUAGAGUAUGGGAGAGGGAAGUGGAAUUUCCGGUGUAGCGGUGAGAUGCGUAGAUAUCGGAAGGAACAUCAGUGGCGAAGGCGACUUCCUGGACCAAUACUGACGCUCAGGUGCGAAAGCGUGGGGAGCAAACAGG